rnacentral:rRNA from 1 species
UACCAGCACCCCGAGUGGUCGGGACGUUUAUUGGGCCUAAAGCAUCCGUAGCCGGUUCUACAAGUCUUCCGUUAAAUCCACCUGCUCAACAGAUGGGCUGCGGAAGAUACUAUGGAGCUAGGAGGCGGGAGAGGCAAGCGGUACUCGAUGGGUAGGGGUAAAAUCCGUUGAUCCAUUGAAGACCACCAGUGGCGAAGGCGGCUUGCCAGAACGCGCUCGACGGUGAGGGAUGAAGGCUGGGGGAGCAAACCGG